AGAGAUGUGUGAUGACGCAUAUCAAUAAGCGGAGGAAAAGAAACUAACAAGGAUUCCCUUAGUAACGGCGAGUGAAGCGGGAAGAGCUCAAAUUUGAAAUCUUCAAGGUUCUACCUUGACGAAUUGUAGUUUAUAGAAGUGUUUUCUGUUAGUAGAGUGGCAAAAGUUCUUUGGAAUAGGACAUCAUAGAGGGUGAGAAUCCCGUAUUUGGUCAUUCUUUCUAGCUUUGUGAUACACUUUCAACGAGUCGGAUUGUUUGGGAAUGCAGUCCAAAAUGGGUGGUAAAUUUCAUCUAAAGCUAAAUAUUGGCGAGAGACCGAUAGCGAACAAGUACCGUGAGGGAAAGAUGAAAAGAACUUUGAAAAGAGAGUUAAACAGUACGUGAAAUUGUCAAAAGGGAAGCGUUUGACACCAGUGUUGUUUUUCCGAAAAUCAAUUACGAAUGUUUUAUUUUUGAGAAGUUAUGACUUCAUCGGCUUGCUUCUCUCUUUAUGAAACUUUCUUAAUGCACUUUUCAGGUUAACAAGUCAACAUCAAUUUCUUUUGUUGUAAAAAGGGUAUGAGGAAGGUGGCUUUCUCUUUCGGCGCAAGUGUUUAUAGCCUUGUAGCCUCUGCAAUCGGAGAGAUUGAGGUCUGCAGCGUAGAUCCUUCGGGGUUAGAUACAUUUGUGCUAAGUUAUAGCCUUUUCAUAGACAACUUGUUGACUAUGAUCAGUCAUGUAGCUUACUCGCUUAUGUCAUUUUACCUACGCUUAGGAUGUUGAAGAUGUAGCACAUCAU
rnacentral:rRNA from 1 species